ensembl:rRNA 5S_rRNA 5S ribosomal RNA
GCUCACCGUGACAGCUCCUAAGAAGGGUUUGGCCUGGUUUGUACUUGAAUGGGAGAUUGACUGGGAAUUCUAGGCGGGUAGUGGGCU